CAGUAGCCGCGGUAACACGUAGGUGGCAAGCGUUGUCCGGAAUUAUUGGGCGUAAAGGGCUCGCAGGCGGUUUCUUAAGUCUGUUGUGAAAGCCCCCGGCUCAACCGGGGAGGGUCAUUGGAAACUGGGAAACUUGAGUGCAGAAGAGGAGAGUGGAAUUCCACGUGUAGCGGUGAAAUGCGUAGAGAUGUGGAGGAACACCAGUGGCGAAGGCGACUCUCUGGUCUGUAACUGACGCUGAGGAGCGAAAGCGUGGGGAGCGAACAGGAUUAGAUACCCCCGUAGUCCCUGUCUCUUAUAC
rnacentral:rRNA from 1 species